ensembl:lncRNA
GAAAGAGGCACAACUGAUGGAAGACACAUAUCCAUGCCCCAAAGAGGGAAGGGAUACAUUUCAGGACCAGGUGGAGAUUCAGGCUACCUAGAGAAAUCCCUGGAUGAUGCUCACCUGCUUUUGGAGGGUUCAGAAUCUGCCAGCCCUUCCCAGCCGAAUUUUCUGCAGCUUGAUGCUGGUGUCUCCCAGGAUCAGCCACAUGAUGUAAAGAAACAGAAGAGAAGAAUCAGAGGCAGAAGGACAGAUAUCUGUCGUGUGUUCAUCUCAGCAACUCACACCUCACUUCUGAGGCUAAACUCGGGCUUUCUGGCACGUGACCUAACCUGAUACCAUGCUCCUUGGAUGGACUGUUCAUUUCCUGCUGGAGACUUUAUGAUGCAGCUGUUAGUGAGACAAGGCGAUCCCAACAAUUGCUCUUCCGAAAGCUGGGUUCUUAGGUCCUGGGUUCUGUGGACCUGCAUUCUGGUGCUUGGGGUGUGUACAAGCUAAACAAAAAGUAUUACCAAGACAAGCACACCGUGCGUUGGUAACAUCUAUGUGAAAGGUGAGUCUGGGGGCUGUUGAUAAUUUCCUUGGAACCCAUGGUGCUUUGGAAAACAUUUUGGGAAGAAAUAAAUAAUAAGUUCUGCCACCUCA